GACGAACGCUGGCGGCGUGCCUAACACAUGCAAGUCGAACGGAGAAAUUCAGCAAUGGAUUUCUUAGUGGCGAACGGGUGAGUAACGCGUAGAUAACCUGCCUCUAAGAUGGGGACAACAACUCGAAAGGGUUGCUAAUACCGAAUGUGAACAGAACUUCGCAUGGAGAACUGUUUGAAGGUGGCCUCUGAAUAUGCUACCGCUUAGAGAUGGGUCUGCGUCUGAUUAGCUAGUUGGAGGGGUAAUGGCCCACCAAGGCGGAGAUCAGUAGCCGGUCUGAGAGGAUGAACGGCCACACUGGGACUGAGACACGGCCCAGAAUCCUACGGGAGGCAGCGGUGGGGAAUCUUCCGCAAUGGACGAAAGUCUGACGGAGCAACGCCGCAUGAGUGAAGAAGGCCUUCGGGUCGUAAAGCUCUGUCUUCAGGGACGAAUGUGCAGGAUGUGAAUAAUGUCUUGUAAUGACGGUACCUGAGGAGGAAGCCACGGCUAACUACGUGCCAGCCGCCGCAGUAAAAC
rnacentral:rRNA from 1 species